GAUGAACGCUAGCGGCAGGCCUAAUACAUGCAAGUCGGACGGGAUUCGGGAGCUUGCUCCUAAUGAGAGUGGCGCACGGGUGCGUAACACGUAUGUAACCUACCUUAAUCAGGGGGAUAGCCUCUCGAAAGAGAGAUUAACACCGCAUAAUAUAUUUUUAUGGCAUCGUAGAAAUAUCAAAUAUUUAUAGGAUUAAGAUGGGCAUGCGGAACAUUAGCUAGUUGGUAAGGUAACGGCUUACCAAGGCUACGAUGUUUAGGGGAUCUGAGAGGAUGACCCCCCACACUGGUACUGAGACACGGACCAGACUCCUACGGGAGGCAGCAGUAAGGAAUAUUGGUCAAUGGGCGCAAGCCUGAACCAGCCAUGCCGCGUGCAGGAAGACGGCCCUAUGGGUUGUAACUGCUUUUGUACCGGAAUAAACCCUUUUACGUGUAAGAGGCUGAAUGUACGGUAAGAAUAAGGAUCGGCUAACUCCGUGCCAGCAGCCGCGGUAA
rnacentral:rRNA from 1 species